UACGUAGGGUGCGAGCGUUUGUCCGGAAUUACUGGGCGUAAAGAGCUCGUAGGUGGUUUGUCGCGUUGUUCGUGAAAACUCACAGCUCAACUGUGGGCGUGCGGGCGAUACGGGCAGACUGGAGUACUGCAGGGGAGACUGGAAUUCCUGGUGUAGCGGUGGAAUGCGCAGAUAUCAGGGAGGAACACCGGUGGCGAAGGCGGGUCUCUGGGCAGUAACUGACGCUGGAGGAGCGAAAGCGUGGGGAGCGAACAGGA
rnacentral:rRNA from 1 species